rnacentral:lncRNA from 1 species
UUGUACUUUUCUAUGAUCAUUUAUUCCCUAACAUUUAAGGAUACGAUGUGCUCCCAUUUUAGUCUCUUGCAAACAAAUGAUCUCUGAUUUUAAUAUGCUCUUACAUUCUCUAAUUAGAUGUCUUUUUCUAUGAUCAUUUAUUUUCCUAACUUUUCAGGAUAUGAUGCACUUCAACAUUGAUUAAUUGUCUUCCAAUAUCCUCUCUUUUCUUUCCACGAUGCCUCGAAUUUACCAUAGUUGAUACUGAACUACAAAACCUUUGCAGUUCCCUAGAUCCCUUUAUAUCUUGUUUUCUUUUCCUUUUUGUUUUUUGCUCCUUAUUCCUUUUCUUUCCACCAUGCCUCGGAUUUACCAUAGUGAUACUAAACUACACAGCCUUUCCAGUUCCCUAGAUCCUUUUAUAUCUUGUUUUCUUUUCCUUUUUGUUUUUUGCUCCUUAUUCUUUACUUUUUUUCUCCUUCUCUAAAAUCUUUAAUCUCUUUUUUGUUUUUUGCUCCUCAUUCCUUAUUUUUUCUCUCAUUCUACUUUAUAUCUCUUUAAACAACUCCAUUGUCUUAUCCUCUAAACUCUUUAAUCUUUUUUUCGUUUUGUGCUCCUUAUUCCUUACUUUUUCUCUCUUACUUCUCUUAAUCUCUUUAAACAACUCCAUUGCUUUAUCCUCUAAAUAGUUUAAACCCUCUAUUUUAGUCUACUGCAAACAAAUGAUCUCUAGUUUUAAUAUGUUCUAAUAACCUAUUUUAUUCUAUGAUCAUUUAUUCUCCUAACAUUUUAGGAUACGAUGUAUUUCUAUUUUAGUCUCCUCCAAACGAAUGAUCUUUGAUUUUAAUUUGCUUAUACAUCCUCUUAUUAACUAUCUUUUUCUAUGAUCAUUUAUUCUCAUAACUUUUCAAGACAUUAUGUGCUUCAACAUUGAUUAAUUGUCUUCCAAUAUUCCCUCUCUUUUCUUUCCGCCAUGCCUCGGGUUACCAUAGUUGAUAGUGAAUUGUGCCUUUGCAGUUCCCUAGUUUCCUUUUUACCUUGUUUGUUUUUCAUUUUUAUUUUUUGCUCUUCAUUCCUUACCUUUUCUCUCCUUCAACUUUAAAUCUCUUCAACUAGCUCGAUUGCCUUAUUAUCUAAACUCUUUAAUUUUUUUUUUCCUCCUUAUUCCUUAUCUUUUCUCUCCUUCUACUCAAAAUCUCUUUAAAAAAUUCCAUAGUUGAUAGUGAAUUGUGCCUUUGCAGUUCCCUAGUUUCCUUUUUACCUUGUUUGUUUUUCAUUUUUAUUUUUUGCUCUUCAUUCCUUACCUUUUCUCUCCUUCAACUUUAAAUCUCUUCAACUAGCUCGAUUGCCUUAUUAUCUAAACUCUUUAAUUUUUUUUUUCCUCCUUAUUCCUUAUCUUUUCUCUCCUUCUACUCAAAAUCUCUUUAAAAAAUUCCAUUGUCUUAUCCUCUAAGCCCUUUCAUCUCUUUUUUUGUUUUUUGCUCUUCAUUCCUUACCUUUUCUCUCCUACUCUAAAUCUCUUUAAACAACUCUGUAUUGUUUUAUCCUCUAAACCCUUUAAUCUCUUUUUUUUCCAUCAUUCUUUACAUUUUCUCUCAUUCUACUCAAAAUCUCUUUAAAAAAUUCCAUUGUCUUAUCCUCUAAGUCCUUUCAUAUCUUUUUUGUUUUUCGCUCCUCAUUCCUUACAUUUUCUCUCAUUCUACUCUAAAUCUCUAUAAAAAACUCCAUUGUCUUAUCCUUUAAAUCUUUUAAUAUCUUUUUUGUUUUUCUCUCCUCAUUCCUUACCUUUUCUCUUAUUCCACUCCUUUUCUUUUUUGUUCCUUGUCCCUUAUCUCUUUUCUCCUUCUACUGUAAACAAAUGAUCUCUAGUUUUAAUAUGUUCUAAUUACCUACCUUUUUCUGAUCAUUUAUUCUCCUAAAAUUUCAGGAUACUAUGUGCCCCUAUUUUAGUCUCCUACAAACAUAUGAUCCUUGGUUUUAAUCUGCUUAUACAGCCUCUAAUUAAAUAUCUUUUUCUAUGAUAAUUGAUUAUCCUAACUUUUCAGGAUAUGAUGCACCUCAACAUUGAUUUAUUGUCUUCCAAUAGCCCCUCUAGUUUUAAUCUGUUCUAAUUACUUGCCUUCUUCUGAUAAUUUAUUCUCCUAAAAUUUCAGGAUACUAUGUGCCCCUAUUUUAGUCUCCUACAAACAUAUGAUCUUUGGUUUUAAUUUGCUUAUACACCCUGUAAUUAAAUAUCUUUUUCUAUGAUCAUUGAUUCUCCUAACUUUUCGGUAUAUGAUGCACCUCAACAUUGAUUUAUUGUCUUCCAAUAUACCCUCUCUUUUCUUUCCAUUAUGUUUCGGGUUACCGUAGUUGAUAUUGAACUAUAGCCUUUUUAGUUCUUUAGAUCCCUUUAUACCUUGGUUGCUUUAUCCCUUUAUACCUUUUCUCUUCUUCUACUAUAAAUCUCUUUAAAAAACUCCAUUGUCUUAUCCUCUAAACCCUUUUAUCUCUUUUUUGUUUCUUACUCCUCAUUCCUUACAUUUUCUCUCGUUGUACUCUAAAUCUCUUUAAACAACACCAUUGCCUUAUCAUCCUCUAAGCCUUUAAUCUUUCUUUUGUUUUUUUCUCUUCAUUCUUUUUUCUCUCAUUCUACUCCAAAUCUUUUUAAUCCUCCAAACCUUUUAAUCUCUUUUUUGUUUUUGCUCUUCAUUACUUAUAAUUUUCUCUCCUUCUACUCUAAAUCUCUUUGAACAACUCCAUUGCUUUAUACUUUGAACCCUUUAAUUUCUUUCUUGUUUUUACUCUUCAUUCCUUACAUUUUCUCUCUUUGUACUCUAAAUCUCUUUAAACAACUCCAUUGCCUUAUCCUCUAAACCUUUAAUCUUUCUUUUGUUUUUUGCUCCUCAUUACUUAUAAUUUUCUCUCCUUCUACUCUAAAUCUCUUUGAACAACUCCAUUAUUUUAUCCUUUGAACCCUUUAAUUUCUUUUUUGUUUUUUUCUUCUCAUUCUUUACUUUUUCUCUUAUUCUACUUCAAAUCUUUUUAAACAAUUCCAUUGCCUUAUCCUUUAAACCCUUUAAUCUUUUUUUAGUUUUUGCUACUCAUUCCUUACUUUUUCUCUCAUUCUACUCUAAAUAUCUUUGAACAACUCCAUUGCCUUAUCCUCUAAAUCUUUUGAUCUCUUUUUUUUUUUUUUUUUGGCUCUUCAUUCUAUAUUUUUUCUCUCAUUCUACUCUAAGUCUCUUUAAAAAAUUCCAUUGCUUUAUCCUCUAAAUCCUUUCAUCUCUUUUUGUUUCUUACUCUUCAUUCCUUACAUUUUCUCUUCUUGUACUCUAAAUUUCUUUAAACAACUCCAUUGCUUUAUUCUUUGAACCCUUUAAUCUCUUGUUUGUUUUUUUCUCCUCAUUCCUUACCUUUUCUCUAAUUCUACUCUAAAUCUCUUUAAACAACUCCACUGACUUAUUCACUAAACCAUUUACUAUCUUCUUUGUUUUUUGCUCCUAAUUCCUUUUUCUCUCAUUCUACUCCAAAUCUCUUUAAACAACUUCAUUGCUUUAUUUUGAUCCCUUUAAUAUCUUUUUUGUUUUUAUCUCCUCAUUCCCUACUUUUUCUCUCAAUCUACUCCAAAUCUCUUUAAACAACUCCAUUGCCUUAUUCCAUACUUUUUGUCUCAUUCCCUUAACCCUUUAUUUUUAUUUUUGCUCUUCAUUCCUUGCUUUUUCUCUCAUUCUACUCCAAAUUUAUUUAAACAAUUCUAUUGCUUUGUCCCCUAAACCCUGUAAUAUCUUUUUUGUUUUUUGCUCCUCAUUCCAUACUUUUUCUCUCAUUUUACUCUAAAUCUCUUUAAAAAAACUCCAUUGCCUUAUCCUUUAAACCUUUUUAUCUCUUUUUUGUUUCUUGCUCUUCAUUCCUUACAUUUUCUCUCAUUGAACUCUAAAUCUCUUUAAACAACUCUAUCUGCCUUAUCCUCUAAAACUCCCUAAACCGCCCAUCUUAUUCUCCUACUAACAAAUGAUCUCUAGUUUUAAUCUGAUUAUAGAUCCUUUAAUUAAAUAUCUUUUUUUACGAUCAUUGAUUUUCUUAACUUUUUAGGAUAUGAUGCCCCUCUCUUUUCUUUGCAUUAUGUCUCGGGUUACCAUAGUUGAUACUGAACUAUUGCCUUUGCAAUUCUUUUGAUCCCUUUAUGCCUUGUUUGCUUUGCUUUUUUAUUUUUUUCUCCUCAUUCCUCACUUUUCUCUCUUUCUCUCUAGUCACUUUAACAACUCACACCUUAUCUUCUAAACCUUUAU